rnacentral:rRNA from 1 species
UGAUACUAAGCCAUGCGAGUCAUUGCAGUAAUGCAAGGCAGACGGCUCAGUAACGCGUAGUCAACCUACCCUAUGGACGGGAAUAACCUCGGGAAACUGAGUAUAAUGCCCGAUAGAACACUAUUCCUGGAAUGGUUUGUGUUCCAAAUGAUUUAUCGCCGUAGGAUGGGACUGCGGCCUAUCAGUUUGUUGGUGAGGUAAUGGCCCACCAAGACUAUUACAGGUACGGGCUCUGAGAGGAGUAGCCCGGAGAUGGGUACUGAGACACGGACCCAGGCCCUAUGGGGCGCAGCAGGCGAGAAAACUUUGCAAUGUGCGAAAGCACGACAAGGUUAAUCCGAGUGGUUUGUGCUAAACGAACCUUUUGACAGUCCUAGAAACACUGUUGAAUAAGGGGUGGGCAAGUUCUGGUGUCAGCCGCCGCGGUAAAACCAGCACCUCAAGUGGUCAGGAUGAUUAUUGGGCCUAAAGCAUCCGUAGCUGGCUCUGUAAGUUUUCGGUUAAAUCUGUACGCUCAACGUACAGGCUGCCGGGAAUACUGCAGAGCUAGGGAGUGGGAGAGGUAGACGGUACUCGGUAGGAAGGGGUAAAAUCCUUUGAUCUAUUGAUGACCACCUGUGGCGAAGGCGGUCUACCAGAACACGUCCGACGGUGAGGGAUGAAAGCUGGGGGAGCAAACCGGAUUAGAUACCCGGGUAGUCCCAGCUGUAAACUAUGCAAACUCAGUGAUGCAUUGGCUUGUGGCCAAUGCAGUGCUGCAGGGAAGCCGUUAAGUUUGCCGCCUGGGAAGUACGUACGCAAGUAUGAAACUUAAAGGAAUUGGCGGGGGAGCACCACAAGGGGUGAAGCCUGCGGUUCAAUUGG